ACGAAUCAAAAGUACAGUGUCCAGUCCAAUUUAUACAGUCCAAAUAUAAAAAUGCGAAAAUAAAUCCUAUCUAACCUAUACUAAUUCUAACUAUUCUCCCGUGCUUUACCCGAUGCCUCAGGCCUUCACCACAAACAUUUUUCAAGUACAAGAUACCUCAAGGCAUUCCCCGGAUAAAUCAAUAAAAGUACUUCGGGGCAUUCCCCGGCCAAAUGAUACAAAGGAUCCCAACACAAUAUAGCUAAAAAAAACCAUUCAAUCACACAACUCAAAUAUUCCAUCAAUCCACAAUCCCUAAAUUUGCCUACCCGACCUAUGUUUGCCUAUCUGUUUCAACAAAAUUCAUGCUUAUUCAAAAUUAAAGCGCUAAUAAUGAAUCAAAACAAAUACGUAUUCACUUUUAUCAAUUAUUCAAUCCUCAAUCCCACCCCGAUCUAAUUUUAAACCGAAAUUCAAACAUGAUAAUUCACACCACUAGUUCCAACAAUCCACAACUAUCGUAAACUCAAUAUUCAUCAUUCACAUCACGCACAAGCAAUUAAUGAUAUUUAAUUCAACGCAUCAAACAUCACUAAUAAAUGAAAUAAAGAAUGAAAGGAGUAGAAUUGGACCUCAAGAGCGCAGAUUUUUCACUGGUAAUAAUGAAUUAAUGAAAGCCAAAGUCCGAAAUCCAAAAGCUCAAAUAGGAAACCUCAACACGAACUGACCGACCCCAAUCAAAGACAACGACUAACCCAAAAUCAAAUCGAGAAUCCACGACUGUCGUCACUCAAAACUCAAUCAGUGGGAAUAUUACCUUUUUCGACGUAUUUCUGCUGUCGAAACAGUGACAGCAGCACCGGUGAAGUUUGGUCAUAGGUUGUCGAACGAUUUCCGAUAGGUUGCAGCUGUGUGUGAUCGGUGAUGGGCGAAAGAAUAAUUUUUCGGUGGAAUUGGCCGGAAUCAGCCCAUAAUAGGUCGACUUCAGUUGUUUAGGGGCUGGUUUUGCCAAUUUCGGCGGCGGAUGAGCCCUUUCCGGCGAGCUUCAGGCGAAGACUCACCAGUCUCCGAUCUCUCUCUCUCGAUUUUUCACUCUCUUCUCACCCUCUCUCCAUUCCUCUCCGAUAUCUUUGCUACUCAAUGUCUUCUCCGAUUUUCUAAGAUUUUCCUGCGUGUGUAAAGGUGAGUGUGAAUUUGGUGGAUUAGUGCAUAGAUAUAUUGACUGUGUGUUUACGGUGUGUUCUUAAGUGAUUUUCAAAGAUGGAGAGUGUGUGCCAUCUUCAAUGGAGUGUAUGUAUGCUGUGCGUUUGUUGUGUAUAAUCAAUGGAGAAACUGUGGAUCUUGGGUAUGAAUUGUGAAGGGACUCUGUGUUGUUACCUUUGAUAUGGUCUGCUAAUGGAGAGGGGCGUGAGGAUUGUGUGUGGGUGUCUUGGUGAAGAAGAAGGAAAAGGAAAAUGGAGUAUGUGUAUUGUGAUGAUGAGAAAAACGUGACCCCCCUGUAAAUGUCACUGUGUAUAUGGAUUUGUAUAUGAAUCACCUAGGUUCCCCUUGAAUAUUCCUCCUUGUGUUUGGUUUAUCCCAUCCAGAAAAGAAAACACGUGAAGGGGAGGGGUACGUGGGUAUAGGGGUGUGGGGUGGUGAGGUAGGGGUAUGGGUAGGGCAGGUGUUCUAAUUUGAUUGGGUAGGUUGUUAGGAUUAGAUAAAUUUUGUUAGGGUAAGGGUUGUAUUAUUUUUUUUGUCAUUUUUUGAAGGGAUAAUUAAAUAGGGUAGGGUAUGUGGUAAGACGAGAAUAAAUAAAUAAAUAGAUAGGUAAAAUUGAUGUUCGGGAGUGACAAAAUUAGGUGUGUACACUUAUCUCUUGAGUUAUGUUUAGGAUUGAAUACAAUCAAAAUUGUUAGUACUGAAUUGGAGAGUCUGACCUUAAUUGGCAUGGCUAGUUUCGAUGAUGUAUGCAUUCAUACUCCCAAUUUACAUUCAUUCAGGCUAAUAAAUAGAUCCCUUAAAAUUUCAAAAUUCACUAUCCAUGGUGGAUUCGGGGCUAAUUGAUGUUGAGAUUGGAUUGAAGUAUUCUCCUGCAUCAACCAAUAGAUUGCUCGAGAUUAGAACUUUCGCCGGAAAAUUAGGUGAAAAUGUCACAUUGUCCUUGGAAACCGACACAACUGAAGCAAUGGUAUGUACAUUGUGAGCUAAAUUAUGUUGCUUUUUUGCUUUAGAGUAAUUCGAUUGUGUCUCAAUAAGUGUGCUUCUAGUUAGUACAUCCAUCUUUAGUAUUUCCAACAAUUACCAAAUUUUUUUGUCUAUGAAGGAAGUAAUACUUCAUCCGGGAAACCUUCAAAGCAAUUUUCAAUCACUUCGUAUCAACUAUAAAGCACAUAAAUUUGGUAGUACACUCUUCAUCAGAACCAAGUUAUGAAUCGUUUCUUGCUGAAUUGUUUGGUUACUUCCAUCCGAGGACCUUGCUGGUGACAGUGAAUUCAGAUGCCCUAAAACAUAACUUAAUACAACAGAAUUUGUAGGUCCUAUUGAAAGAGCUGGAAGGUUGGAACAGAGAGUGUACCAAACGUUAUAAAUGUAGUAAUUACAUGUCUUGCCGCAAUUUCUUGAAAGAUCUUUAGGAUCCUUGAAACACCUACAUUUGAAAGACAAGAAAGGACAGCCUGGUGCAAUAGUCCCCUGCUCCGGCAAAAGGCCGGACCACAAGGGUCACAUAGCCUUACCCAACUUUUCUACAAUUACAAGACAAGGCGCUCAUGUUUGCUUCGAUUUCCAAUGUCUCUUUAGCAGCAAGGAUGGUAGCCUGGGUUACUUCAGGAGCAGGCACAGUGUCGACAGGAGCAGCACCCGUUGAGAGACCUUAGGCGAUUGCAACAGGCUCUCCGAGCACAUUAAAAAUUCGUCCCAGAGUCGCUCCCCCGACCGGAACACUUAUAGGAGCUCCUGUGUCAAUCACUUCCAUUCCUCUCGUUAAACCGUCUGUAGCACUCAUAGCUGCAGCCCAUAUAGUCAGGCAGAAGCAAGGCGCCGGCGCAAUAUGUGAAUGCCAUUUUGUUAAGAUUUUGUAAGAAAGUUUUGCUUUUAUAUAUAAUUAUAUACAUUAAUAAGAUAAAACUUUAGUAAAAAAAAAAACCUCGUACGAACCUAAAAGAAUAAUACAAUCAAUUGAAACUUUCCUAGUGUAAACUGAAAGUUAUUGGAAUAUAAUAUUUCUAACAAAGUUGAUAGUUAGUUUUUGUAGUUAAUUAGGAUGUGGAGAAUUAUAAAUUCUGUGAGAUUCUUCAACUUCUAGGUGAUUUGUAGAGGAAGAAUUGGUGAAAGUUGUCGACUUCUUUGAUGUUACUGUGAAAUUAAGUUUGAAACUCAAGAUAAGUUUUCACUAUCAUUUUUUUGUUGUUUGAAUCGUCUUUCGAGGUAGUUAUCAGAGUCCCUUUGACUGGGAGCUACUUUUUGCCCUUUUGACUGGGAUCUACUGCUGUCGGAACAGUCUUUUGAUUUGUAGAUGGUUCAGGCAUUGGCAGUCUCUCGAAUUCAAUAGGUUUAGGGACCUCAUCAUCAUCCACCCCUCUCAUCAUUGCUUCUGUCUCUCAUGAAGUUACGUCUGUUGCAGAAAUAACCUCACAAACUUCAGUUGGAGUUUUGUACGUUGAGACGGCAAUGUCAAUAUCAGAUGCUACAGACAGAAAAAUGCACAACAGAUAGAAAGCCAUUUGAUUGUCCAAACUGAAAAUAGAAGACAUCCCUCAAAGCCCCAUUAUUGCAAAACAAGUUGAUUCCUACGUUUUUUAAUUCCCACAACCUCUUAGCUACUCAGACAAACAGGUAGAUAGACUGUACAAGAUUGACUUGGGGGAAUCAUAUAGUCCACUUCAUUUACACCACAAGGAUAUGAAAAAAAACCUAGACCAAAGGAUGAUGACUUAUUAAAAGAGGUUUGUUCGGUUUCUAUUAUCAUUAUGUAGAUGUGUAUUGUUGUUUUAAUAGCAUUAGACGACAUAUCUCUGAAUUUUUGUUUUGUUUUUCUAAAGACAAUCAGUUUUAUCAAAUAUAAUUCUUUUGGGUGUUUCUGGUGUAGCAAUGUAAACUGGUAAGUUUCUGUCGAAUUAUAUUUUACAAUAUAGUAUUUGCAUAUCUUAUUGUAACUUAUUUAAGAUUGAUCUACUGUGAGUCUGAAUUCUGUAAUGUUUUGGAUUUCUUUUUCCUUGAAUUGAAAGUUUAUCAGAAAUACUCUCUCUACCUUCCAAGAUAGAGGUAAGGUCUGCUUACACUCUAUUCUCUCAGACACCACUUUGUUGGACUGUACUGUCUAUUUUGCUAUGUCUUUUUGUGCUUUCCUUUUUAAUAAUUGUACUUCUCGUAAAUGCUCUAAAAAAACUCAAGGAAUACAGAAACAAGGGAAAUCAAUCUUUUCUCUUUUUUUGAUAUGUCUCAGAAGCAGCAAACCAAGUAAGAUGCAGUAACUUUUACCCCUCUUGAUAGGCUCCAAACCAAUUAUCAAGCAAAGAAUACUUUUUGCUUCACAUGUAGUCAAAUUUGAUUGACAUUAAAUGCUUAGAAUACCUCAAGCAUAGCAAGAGAAUAUUGUGGGUAGCUUAUAACAUUCCAUGUAAGAUGCAACAGUAAUUCAUUCAACGAACAAAUUGGAUGGACAAUAUGUCAUGUUGUAACAGUUAGUUUGAACGAUAUUCAGAGUUCCAUAGUUGUACUGUUUUAGAUUCAUUAACAAUUCUAUUUACACAAUGAGACAUACUAUGCAAGUAAUAUACAUAGAUAGCAUGGCAGUGGAUUUUAUUUACAAGUAUGCAAUCACCCAUAAAAGGCAAGUUCCUUUUUUUUUUUAAUUUUGGGGUCAUCUUUCUCGAGGUAGUGGUAAGGUCCGUGUACACUUAAUCCUCCCCAAAUCUCACGUAUGGAAUUCUAGUCGGUAUGUUGUUGUUGUAUCUUCACACUGAUUUCUAAACUAACUGCUGUUGAAUUUUAUAUUUUGGCACAUUUGCUUCUUCCGUUAACUGUUUUUGUACAUGCAUGUGAGAAUUUGUGACCACAGGUAUUAACUUCAAGUUAUCUAAUUACUGCACGUUUUUAAGGUUCAUGGAUAUACAUAUUUUCUUUCUUUAUUUUGUUUUCCUCUGUAUUUUAUGAACUAAUAAUAGUUUGAUAAAAUUAUCAGCCCCAACAAGGACUAUGGAACCAGUGUUGGGCUUUAAGAAGUGAAAGAGAUGUUGAAACUCUUCUCGAGACAUAUCUUUGCAUCAAUAUCUGUGAAUAUGUCUUGUAGCAUCCUUACAAAAUAUGUUAGUUUUGAAUAUUCCUUUCUUACCUGGUCUAUGUUGGUAGAUUAGCUUUGAUUUGACAAUGAUAGCCAAAUAUACAUUUGUAAGCAAGAUACACCCAAUGUAAUAGUUAUGUCACUCUAUACAAUUUAUUAUGCCAUCUUUUUCAUGUGGAGGUCUGUUCUCUGAACCUCUUCUUA